rnacentral:lncRNA from 13 species
CAUACUGUAUGUUUCUCUAGUGAGCCAUCUCAGACCGCUGACCUCAAACCCCUGCCUUUCGGUGUCUUCUCCCCAGGACGGGUGCAUGAGGACGGGCUGGAGCAGAACGGGUACCAGGGGGGGUGUGUGGGACUGGGGCUCAGGACCCUGUGUGUGAACGACACAGAGACAGACCAGGACCACUACCCAACCACCAGCAGAACCAGGUCCCGAUCAGAACGCCUCUCCAGCUCCUCCUCCAACCCCUCACGCAAAGAAGUGUCCACCUACAGCCGCAUCCGCAAGCUGUCCAACUGUAAGCAGCAGUGGGAACAGCCCCCGAGUCCCCCAGCCCUGAACACACACUGGAAAGUCACAUGGAUGGAUCUGGGACCACAGCUAAUCAGUGAGAAAUGGAAUAGCUGUCCAAUAGCAGCAACGAGCCAAGCGGCAUCCUUUCUGAGUCAUCGGCAUGCAGGCAUCUCCCACGCAGUCUGCCGAGGGGGAGAGGGUGAUCACUCCUCCACAGCAUCAUCCCAGAGACAUCCGUGAAUACUGAGAAGCCUUUUCACAAUAAGGGAGAGAAGGGUGGAAUGGAGGACGUGGUGGUGGGGGAGGAGGGGGACACCAUCCAAUCUAUAUUAGUUUGUGCAAUGAAUGACUCACAGCCCGGCUGAGACUGGGCGUAAUGGACUGGACAGGAUAUUGUGUUUGGUAAAAGUCGGACUGAUCGAGGUCCUGGCUGCAGUCUGGAGCCUGCUGUCUGGCAGAAUGUCCAGCAGAUUCCAGCUGUAACAGCCUACUGUCUGACAGAAAGUCCAGCUGUAACAGCCUGCUGCCUGACAGAAUGUCCAGCAGAUUCCAGCAGUAACAGCCUGCUGUCUGACAGAAUGUCCAGCAGAUUCCAGCUGUAACAGCCUGCUGUCUGACAGAAAGUCCAGCUGUAACAGCCUGCUGCCUGACAUAAUGUCCAGCAGAUUCCAGCUGUAAUAGCCUGCUGUCUGAAAAAAUGUCCAGCAGAUUCCAGCUGUAACAGCCUGCUGUCUGACAGAAAGUCCAGCAGAUUCCAGCAGUAACAGCCUGCUGUCUGACAGAAUG